UCCCUGGUGGUCCAGUGGCUAGGACUCUUGUGCUUCCAAUGCGGGGGCCCAGAUUCAAUCCCUGGUCAGGGAA
rnacentral:tRNA from 1 species